UGGCAUCUUGUGGGGUGAGUUGG
rnacentral:piRNA from 1 species